rnacentral:rRNA from 1 species
AGUGGAUGGGGAGCAACCUAGUUGUGCGUGUGUAAAGGUAGUGCCAAGAAAAGCGGUGAUCAUUAUGAAAAUCAAUUCCCGGUACCCGAAACCGACACAGGUGGGCAAGUAGAGAAUACUAAGGGGCGCGAGGUAACUCUCUCCAAGGAACUCGGCAAAAUGACCCCGUAACUUAGGGAGAAGGGGUGCCACCGAGAGGUGGUCGCAGUGAAGAGGCCCAGGCGACUGUUUAGCAAAAACAUAGGUCUCUGCAAACUCGAAAGAGGAGGUAUAGGGGCUGACGCCUGCCCAGUGCCGGAAGGUUAAAGAAGUUGGUCAGUCUUAGGAUGAAGCUAGCGACUGAAGCCCCGGUGAACGGCGGCCGUAACUAUAACGGUCCUAAGGUAGCGAAAUUCCUUGUCGGGUAAGUUCCGACCCGCACGAAGGCGUAACGAUCUGGGCGCUGUCUCGGAGAGAGGCUCGGCGAAAUAGGAUUGUCUGUGAAGAUACGGACUACCUGCAUUUGGACAGAAAGACCCUAUGAAGCUUUACUAUAGCUUGGAAUUGUGUUCGGGCUUCCUGUGCGCAGGAUAGGUGGGAGGCGUAGAAGGUAUUCUUGUGGGGAUACUGGAGCCAACGGUGAGAUACCACUCUCAGGAGGCUAGAAUUCUAACUUAAUUAAGGACAGUUUCAGGUGGGUAGUUUGACUGGGGCGGUCGCCUCCAAAAAGGUAACGGAGGCGUACAAAGGUUCCCUCAGACUGGUUGGAAAUCAGUCGAAGAGUGCAAAGGCAGAAGGGAGCUUGACUGCGAGAAGUACAGUUCGAGCAGGGUGGAAACACGGUCUUAGUGAUCCGACGGUGCUGUGUGGAAGGGCCGUCGCUCAACGGAUAAAAGUUACUCUAGGAUAACAGGCUGAUCUCCCCCAAGAGUUCACAUCGACGGGGAGGUUUGGCACCUCGAUGUCGGCUCAUCGCAACCUGGGGCGGAAGUACGUCCCAAGGGUUGGGCUGUUCGCCCAUUAAAGCGGUACGUGAGCUGGGUUCAGAACGUCGUGAGACAGUUCGGUCCAUAUCCGAUGUAGGCGUGAGAAUAUUGAGAGGAGCCUUCCUUAGUACGAGAGGACCGGGAAGGACGCACCGCUGGUGUACCUGUUAUGAUGCCAAUUGUAAACGCAGGGUAGCCAAGUGCGGAGAGGAUAACCGCUGAAAGCAUCUAAGUGGGAAGCCCACCUCAAGAUGAGUAUUCUGGUGUAAGGUCACGGGAAGACGACCCGUAAAUAGGCACGAGGUGGAAGUGCAGAGAUGUAUGAAGCCGAAGUGUACUAAUAGACCGUCGGCUUGACCU